rnacentral:rRNA from 1 species
CCCUUAGAUGUCCUGGGCCGCACGCGUGCUACACUGAUACGUACAACAAGUAUCUUCUUGCUGCUCCGAAAUAGAUAAUCAACUUGGCUAAAUCUCCAAUACGUAUCGUGCUGCGGAUAGAUCGUUGAUAAAUAAUUAUGAAUCUUGAAGGAGGAAUUCCUAGUAAGCGCAGGUCAUCAGCCUGCGUUGAUUACGUCCCUGCCCUUUGUACACACCGCCCGUCGCUCCUACCAAUUUCGAGCGACUCGGUGAACCUUUCUUCUCUCGACUGCAUGGCAACAUGCGACGCACGAAGAAUUGUAAACCUGGUCGCUUAGAGGAAGGAGAAGUCGUAACA